GGGGAGAGUCGCAGGCAGGAGUGUGGGGCUGUGGAGCACCCCUGCGCCACCACGGUCUGUCGAGAAGGUCACCAGAGCAGCAUAUGCCAUCUUGGGUGCAGCUGCCUUGGGCGUGUGAAGUCUGGUAGGACACAGAAAGGAAUCGCUGUGGCUAGCUGACUCUGGUGCAAGUCCUGGGGAGUUACCAGUGUUGCCAAGUUUCAGGAGCCAGUCCAGCUUUUCCCUGGAGUAUGCAAAGAAAACAAAAGGAUCCAGCAUCAUAAUGGGUAAGACAACGACUUUCCCUAAACCUUCAAGGCAGUUCCUUAAUCACUUUAGUAAUGGCCAAGUUUUUCCAGCUGAAUAAGAAUAAAAGUAAAAAAGAAAAAAAGAAAAAAAAAAAGAAAGAAAAAGCCUACAGUAAAUGCACAUCUUGAAAACUUGGACCCAAACUACUAAUGUUCAGCUAAAAUCAUAAGCAACUGAAAACAGUGUCAGUAUAUAUUUAUAUAAUUGUAAUGUCAUUACGUAAAGGGCAAUAUCAAGUGG
ensembl:lncRNA